rnacentral:rRNA from 1 species
AGGCGACGAUGCGUAGACGACUGAGAGGGUGAUUGGCCACACUGGGAGUGAGACACGGCCCCAGAGAUCCUACGGGAGGACAGCAGGUAGGGAAUCUUCCGCCAUGGA